rnacentral:rRNA from 1 species
ACAUGCAAGUCGAACGGGCUAGUGCUUCGCACUAGUCUCUUUCUGGGGUUGCUACUCUAAGGCUACCUGCUAAAGUUAUUGCUUUAAAGCAGGGUUUAGGGACUUCCCCAAAAGGGGCCAGUGCGGAGCACUGGCCAGUGGCGAACGGGUGAGUAACACGUGGGUAAUCUGCCCUCGAGUGGGGAAUAAGCUCCCGAAAGGGGGUCUAAUACCGCAUGACGUUUCAUAACGAUGGUUAUGAAACCAAAGCCCAAAAGGCGCUUGAGGAGGAGCCUGCGUCCUAUCAGCUUGUUGGCAGGGUAAUGGCCUACCAAGGCUAUGACGGGUAGCCGGCCUGAGAGGGUGUCCGGCCACACUGGAACUGAGACACGGUCCAGACUCCUACGGGAGGCAGCAGUGGGGAAUUUUGCGCAAUGGGGGAAACCCUGACGCAGCGACGCCGCGUGGAGGAUGACGGCCUUCGGGUUGUAAACCGCUUUCAACUGUGACGAAUUUGACGGUAGCAGUAGAAGAAGCACCGGCUAACUACGUG